CCUCACUCCUCAGACCCAAAGACUCUCAGACAGGUUUCCUCUGUAGAUCUUCAGUGUGUUCGUGAUGAAGCUGCUGGUUGUGUUGCUGUUCGUUGGUGCUGUGAUGGCUCAGAGAAGAGAAGGUACUGCAACACCAAUGUCUGUGAAUGAUAAUCAUCAGGAAGAAGGUCCAACUGAUGAAUCAGACAAAGAAUCAGAAAAAGAAUCAAGCGGUGGCGUCCAUAAAUCAUUGAGAGCUUGGGGUUUGAAUACAAAGGAAGUAUGGAGAGAAUGGAAAACAUUCAAUGAUCGGCGUUUCAUAUUUAUGAGGUUUCCGUUGUCAUGGAGCAUGGCUCAG